CCUACGGGAGGCAGCAGUGAGGAAUAUUGGUCAAUGGGCGGGAGCCUGAACCAGCCAAGUCGCGUGAGGGAAGACGGUCCUAUGGAUUGUAAACCUCUUUAGGCGGGGAGCAAUGCCGGGCACGCGUGCCCGGAGGGAGAGUACCCGCAGAAUAAGCAUCGGCUAACUCCGUGCCAGCAGCCGCGGUAAUACGGAGGAUGCGAGCGUUAUCCGGAUUUAUUGGGUUUAAAGGGUGCGUAGGCGGAUUUUUAAGUCAGCGGUAAAAUGUCCGGGCUCAACCCGGGCCGGCCGUUGAAACUGGGGAGCUUGAGUGGGGGAGAAGUAUGCGGAAUGCGUGGUGUAGCGGUGAAAUGCAUAGAUAUCACGCAGAACUCCGAUUGCGAAGGCAGCAUACCGGCGCCCGACUGACGCUGAGGCACGAAAGCGUGGGGAUCGAACAGGAUUAGAUACCCCAGUAGUC
rnacentral:rRNA from 1 species